rnacentral:rRNA from 1 species
GGAUAACCCUCGGAAACGGGGGCUAAUACCGGAUAUGACCUCCUGUCGCAUGGUGGGGGGUGGAAAGUUUUUCGGCCUGGGAUGGGCUCGCGGCCUAUCAGCUUGUUGGUGGGGUGAUGGCCUACCAAGGCGACGACGGGUAGCCGGCCUGAGAGGGCGACCGGCCACACUGGGACUGAGACACGGCCCAGACUCCUACGGGAGGCAGCAGUGGGGAAUAUUGCACAAUGGGCGGAAGCCUGAUGCAGCGACGCCGCGUGAGGGAUGACGGCCUUCGGGUUGUAAACCUCUUUCAGCAGGGACGAAGCGUGAGUGACGGUACCUGCAGAAGAAGCGCCGGCCAACUACGUGCCAGCAGCCGCGGUAAGACGUAGGGCGCGAGCGUUGUCCGGAUUUAUUGGGCGUAAAGAGCUCGUAGGCGGCUUGUCGCGUCGACCGUGAAAACUUGGGGCUCAACCCCAAGCCUGCGGUCGAUACGGGCAGGCUAGAGUUCGGUAGGGGAGACUGGAAUUCCUGGUGUAGCGGUGAAAUGCGCAGAUAUCAGGAGGAACACCGGUGGCGAAGGCGGGUCUCUGGGCCGAUACUGACGCUGAGGAGCGAAAGCGUGGGGAGCGAACAGGAUUAGAUACCCUGGUAGUCCACGCUGUAAACGUUGGGCGCUAGGUGUGGGGGGCCUCUCCGGUUCUCUGUGCCGCAGCUAACGCAUUAAGCGCCCCGCCUGGGGAGUACGGCCGCAAGGCUAAAACUCAAA